rnacentral:lncRNA from 1 species
UCAUGAGACUUAUUCACUACCAUGAGAAUAGGAUGGAAAAGACCGGCCCCCAUAAUUCAAUUACCUCCCCCUGGGUCCCACCCACAACAUGUGGGAAUUCUGGGAAAUACAAUUCAAGUUGAUAUUUGGGUGGAGACAAAGCCAAAACAUAUCAGCCAUCAUCGCAGGUUCAAUGAAAAGCUAGUUUAGGAAAAUGCUCAAAUUAAGAUUUCUGAAAUAUCCCCUUUCCUACCACAUGUCCAGUGCAUUCUCUCACCGGAGAGUAGGACUUAGGUGGCAGGGGCUGAACCAGCAUCACCUCUACUAGUCUUCUUAUAUGCAGGCAACAAGACUGAAGAAGGGAAAGUGAAUUGAGAUUGCAGGCAAGAGAUAAGGUUGUUUGUCAAGAAAAACCCCGAUAUUGAUCAUAUCUAUGGAGCCACAAGUGGAAGCCAAAAGUGGUCUUCCCAGUGUGUUAAUCUCUGGGAGGUGUUCUUAUCUUCCAGCAUCUACUCCCUUCUAGUUAUCUAAUUGCAUUGUAACAAAUCUUUAUGACAGAAGUGGAAUGCCUCUUUCUCCCUCCCUUUCCCCACCUCCCCUUGGUAUGUGAUGGUAGACAGUAUAGUGACUUCGAGUGUUUAUUUAACUGUGCAUGCUUUUUCUCCAUCGUCUAAACAUCCGCCAGGAACCUUGACAUUAGUUUCACCUCUCCUCUGGGGCUGAGAGAUGGGAAAGAAGCGUCAAGAACUUGAACAGAAAUCCAGCUCUCAGUACAUUGCAAGACGAGGUCUCACUAUGUUGCCCAGGCUGAUCUUGAACUCCUGGGUUCAAGAGAUCCACCCAUCUCAGCCUCCCAAAGCGCUGGGAUUACAGGUGUGAGCCACCGUGCCCAGCCCUGAUGCAUUUUCUGAAAGCUCUUCAGAAGCAAGUAAAUUGCUAAAGUAUUGUGUCUCCUAAAACGUUCAUGGAAAGGAUAGAAAGGACCCUGACAUCAUUUGCGCUGGGUAAGAAUUCCCAGAAUUCUAAUGAAGAGACUGACUGGUUUAUAAAACUGCUAAUCCAAGCAAGACAAGAAUUAAUUGAAUACCAAGGAAAUACUUUGCCAGAUUUUCAUGCUAGAUAAGCCAAUAAUGAAAUUGUUAAGAUCUGCAGUUUCAAUAAACUCCAUAGUCCAAGCCAAAUUACCUCUGAUAACUCAUCUAAUAAACAGUGCUAUGCACCUGUAUUGGAGA